UACGUUGAUUUCACGUGUCUC
rnacentral:siRNA from 1 species